GUUGUUCUGGAAUGUGAAUUAUGUAAAGAGAGCCCGGUUAUUAGUGUGUGUGUAAUUCUAUCCUCAUCUCGAGGUCUCGGUGUUGCGUGCGGUUCUAGCCUUCGUCAUUUGAACAGCUUAACUUUGCCGUUACUUAGUCACUGAUAUUGCCGUCUAAGUAAUUUCAUAAUAUCUUAAGAUAAUUUCUUAAUUUAUUAAAUAAUUUCUUAAUAAGUUUAACGUUAGAUGAUAUCAGUAUUAUUUAACAAAUAUCAAAAGGUUGUGUUUUGUUACCAUUAUGUUAUUUGGAACACGUUCAAAGAUGCUUAUAUAACAAUCCUAUUAUAGCUUGUGAUUGGCAGCCAGAAAGUGAAAAUAAAUAUGGGGCUAAGAAUACGAUUUGGUUAAUUCAGUACUCUAUAAAACAAAGCAAAACAAGAAGAAAAGGACUACUAAACAGCUUAAGGAUCAUUUCACCUACACGUGAGAUUGUCAAGAAACAAGUAGCUCAAAAAUCUGUUCUGAACACAAGUCGAAGAUAAGAACAGUCUGAUAAGAAUAGACAAUCCAGAGCAAGAAGUUGGUAAGAUGAUUACUAUGAAUAGUAAACUU